rnacentral:rRNA from 1 species
CUACGGGCUGCUGCAGUGAGGAAUAUUGCACAAUGGGGGAAACCCUGAUGCAGCAACGCCGCGUGGAGGAUGACGCAUUUCGGUGUGUAAACUCCUUUCAUAUGUCAAGAAAAUGACGGUAGCAUAUGAAUAAGCACCGGCUAACUCCGUGCCAGCAGCCGCGGUAAUACGGAGGGUGCAAGCGUUACUCGGAAUCACUGGGCGUAAAGGACGCGUAGGCUGUUUGGCAAGUCAGAUGUGAAAUCCUAUGGCUCAACCAUAGAACUGCAUUUGAAACUGCCAGACUAGAGUAUGGGAGGGGGAGAUGGAAUUAGUGGUGUAGGGGUAAAAUCCGUAGAUAUCACUAGGAAUACCUAAAGCGAAGGCGAUCUCCUGGAACAUUACUGACGCUAAGGCGUGAAAGCGUGGGGAGCAAACAGGAUUAGAUACCCUCGUAGUC